UUUGAUACACUACGUAUUGUUAUUAUAACAUACAUCAUACACAUCAAACCCAAACCCUAACUCCCUCCCUCUCAUCUCGACGUGCAGCAACAACAGACCCCCAGUCACGAUCCACCUAGCUCGAGUUCGAUCUCUCUCUCGCAUCCCUCUCUCUCUUACGGAUGAUAAUGAUUGGACGUGAUUGACCGACCUUGACUGUUAGCUAUUUUUAAGAGUCAAACCGAGCAACCAAAGGUCGUUAGGUACUCAUGGAGCUUGCACAGGGAGGCGCGGUCGUUGUGGGACAUGGCAGUGUGUGCCAUGCUAAAAACAUUACUCUACUUCGUACUUAAUACUUACAUUGGGUUUUACAAUUAUGCUUACGCUAAACACUUAACUAUGUUUUGAUUUGAAACACCUUUCAAAUUGUAUGGUCGAAUUUUACUUAUUA
rnacentral:lncRNA from 1 species